CUCAAAAAAAAAAAAAAAGCUAAAUAUUAAAAAAAUUAUAGAGGUAUAUCUGAAAAUAUGGAAUAUUACAUACCCUUGGGGUAGAAAAUGCCUAUCCACAUAUCUAGCAUCUGUCUCUCUUAUGACUAUAUUUGGAAGUAAUACAUGUGAUCAAAAUAAAUGAAAAGAAUGGAAGAACUUUUUUUUUUUUUGAGACAGCGUCUCACUCUUGUUGCCCGGGCUGGAGUGCAGUGGUAUGAUCUUGGCUCACUGCAACCUCGACCUCCCAAGUUCAAACAAUUCUCCUGCCUCAGCCUCCCAAGUCACUGGGACUACAGGCGCCUGCCACCACACCCAGCUAUUUUUUUUUUUUUUUUGGUAUUUGUAGCAGAGAUAGGGUUUCACCAUGUUGGCCAGGAUGGUCUCGAUAUCUUGACCUCAUGAUCCACCCCCCUCAGCCUCCCAAAGUGCUGAGAUUAUAGGCGUGAGCCACCGCGUUCAGCCAGGAAGAAUUUUUUAAAGGUUAAAAUAUAUGUAUGUGUAUAUAUGUAUAUAUGUAUAUGUCAACUAAAAUUGGCUUACAAUUCUAACUCUCUUUAAUAAUUAUAGAACACUUAACUAGGGUCCCUAGAUGAAUUAUCAGGCAUUGUCAAUACUAUUUGCCUUGAAAAGGGUCCAAUAUAUUGCUCCCUUUGGGAAAUGCUAGUGCACACCACAGAUGGUGCAGGAAACCACUGGCAGAGUGGCCACUCUCUCUCCCACCCCGUCAUUGACAUGACAAACAGCAUCCCCUCGUUUUACACUAGGCCAGAUCAUGAAGAAACUAAGCUAUGCUUCAUUUUGUGCAAAUCCAUUGCAUCCAGAUUUGUAAGCCAUCAUGUAUGAGGUAAUGAUUUGUUUUUACCAAACUAUACAAUAACAUUUUUGGUUCCACAUGUAAGAGCCAGGAACAGCCAGAGAGUGUUGGUUAGCUGAUCCAGCUAACCAACUGUAAGGCACAGUCCCCUGCUCUGGUUCUGACAAGUACUGAUGGCCACAUCUGGGACCUGAGGCAGCAAAGACCCUUCUCGGUGGCCACUCAGCCAGACUUCACACAGGCCCGGGGUGCUGCUCAUGGCCAUUCAGAUAUACAGCUGCAAGGCCUGGAGGCCACACUUCAAAAACGGCAACAGGCAAUUCUCAUUCUUCUCCUCUGCCUCUUCCCACUAUUUCUCUGUUUUCAAUUCCUCUUUCUUGUUUUGCACACAAAGUUCCCUGAGAUGUGCUUAACUCAGCUGGCUUAGCCACAGCCCAGCAUAGGGCACUCAGCUAUGCCCUGUUCUCAAAGCAGACCCAUCACAGGCUGCUGGGCUUCCUAGAGCCAGCAUCCUUAUGCAGGUGUCACUUAUCUAAUACAGGUGCCACUAGCCAUGUGUGGCUAUUUCAAUUCGUUUAUUAAAAGCAAAUAAAAAUUUUAAAAAUCCAGUCCCUCCAUUGCACCAGUCACAUUUUUUUUUUUUUUUUUUUGAGACGGAGUCUCGCACUCUCGCCAACGCUGGAGUACAGUGGUGCCAUCUCAGCUCACUGCAAGCUCCGCCUCCCAGGUUCACACCAUUCUCCUACCUCAGCCUCCCGAGUAGCUGGGACUACCGGCGCCCGCCACUACACCUGGUAAUUUUUUGUAUUUUUGGUAGAGACAGAGUUUCACCAUGUUAGCCAAGAUGGUCUCGAUCUCCUGACCUUGUGAUCUGCCUGCCUUGGCCUCCCAAAGUGCUGGGAUUACAGGCAUGAGCCACCAUGCCCAGCCUCCACCAGUCACAUUUCAAUUGCUCAGUAAGCACACAUGGCUUGUGGCAGCCAUGCUGGAUCCAGGUCCAGAACAUUCCACGGUGGCAGGAAGUGCUACUGGACAGUGCUGCUGUCCCCAGCACUGAGGACAGUGGUUGCCAAGUUAUCCUCCCCUACAGCUUUGUCCAUUGACAUGUCUGCAGAGCACAAUGACAGUGACUGUUCCCCAGACCUUACCAUCGGGGCUAUUACCAAACUUUUCAGUCCUUGCUUAUAAGACUUUUUUAUUUUUUUGCUUGAAUUUGCAAGUUUUUAAUUAUCAGUGAGGUUGAGUAUGUCUCAUAUGCUUGUGACCAAGUGUAUUCUUUUUUUCUGAAGUAACAUUCAUAUCCUUCAUCAUUUUUCCACUUUUUUUUAUCUCAUUGAUUGAAAAGUUUCUUUGAUAAGGUCCUUUGCAUAUUGAGAACAAAGGUCACCAUUGUUUCUAUGGGUGAAGAGGCCUCAAGCUUAGUGGGGUGGGCACUUAAGAAGUGUGAACAUUUAUGCGCUUUGACCCACUUGCAAUAAUUUAUUCUCCAAAAACAACUGAAAGUUCAACAGAAGGCAAGAGCUGUGUGUCCAGUGGUAUUCAUUUAAAAAGAAAAAAAAAAAAAGCAAAGGAAACAGGCUGGGUGGGGUGGCUUAUGCAUUUGGCAGGCUGAGGCAGGAGGAUGGCUUGAGCCCAGCAGUUUGAGACUAGGCUGGGAAGCACGGUGAGACCUCGUCUCUACAAAAAAUUUAAAAACUUUUAAAAAACAGGAAACAACCAACCCCUACAGUUGAGAAUUAUUUUGGGAUGAUAUGCACCAUGGAAAAUGCUUCCGAUACAAUAUUGAGUGAAAUAAGCCAAAUGCAAACUCGCUACAUGAGAAUAACAGCCACAGAGAAAUAUGCAAAUUUCCUCAUGCAAAUAGCCUCUUCCCGGAAAAGAAUAUGGAAAAAUAGAAACAGCGAUGUGUAACAGGUGGAGUUGCAGGAGACCCUUUUACCAAUAAACUUAAUCAGGAGAUAAUGUGCCCAGAGGUGGAGAGGGAUGGAAGCAAGUGGGCAGAGGUGCACGUGUCCUCUGAGAGAAGGUAUUCACUGGACAUUACCCCAUGUACUGGAAAGGAGCCCUCCUUCCUAUCCGGGUGCCCCAGCAUCAGUCACAGGGCACAACUAUGUCAUGUUUGUCGUGGCUGUCUCUGAUUUUUUUCUGUUUUUCUUAACAUUUUUCUUUGGAUGUCAUCUGAUCCUUCUUUUUACUUUUCACAUCACAAAUACCAGUACAAUUAAUAAAAUAAAAAUAUUUUCAUCAGAGUACUCUGUAAUUAUUACAUCACCCCCAGAAGUGCACACGCCAGGGUCUGGGGAAUGCAAGAGACUAAAGGAACUACAUGUUGGCUUGACACUUUUGUUCUGCUGAAUGAGCUCAGUUUAGAUGGUGCUCAAGCCAACAGAGGAGCUUCCUGGACACAGCCUGUUUGCGGCUUUGCCCUGAGCCCCCUGCCAGGUCAGCAAGACUGCAAAUGCCUGGAGCCACACUGAGCAGAUGCUGGGCCUCCGGCUCGGCAGGGCUGUCAGCAAUGGACACUGGGUGGAGAGCCUGGUGUUAGAGGCCACUGACUACUGAUGAUGAUUUAGCAAAGUACAAGAAAUGGUUUCUUUCCAGAGUCUCUUACCCAAAAUUAAGCAGUGGGUAAGAUAAAUAUUCUUAGGAAUGAACCUCCUGGAUAAAAGCACCAGCUCUGGGAGAACUCUGACAAGCAAAUGGCAAAGGUGCUGGGUGACAACCAUGGCCCCUAAGCCUGGUUGCAGCUCCCCAGCUUCCAGAGUACACCUACUCUCUAGCUGGAAAAACUUAAGAAAUCGUUACUACUGGAAGUGGGGGUAUGAGUCUCCACUUUACAUUUCCACGUUCCCACGUUAUCUGCCUGGCUGCUCUCCAGAGAGUGGGUGGACAUGGAGAAACAGGAGCACAGCAUUCAAAAGGGAUCAUCUCAAAUCCAAGGUUAUCCAUGGACAUGACUUACCUUUUCUUUGGGUUAGCACACACUGUUUCAUUGUCAGAGAUAUUAAAAAUAGGAUCGGGGAAAGAGGGGCCUAGUUUGCUAGUUUGCAUGGCAGCAACAGUGAGCACAAGCUCGUGACUUUCUGCUCACAGCAGUUGCUGUGGUUGGUUCCUUGACAACUCAGAGGUUGACUGUGUGCUCACACCAUGGGCACCUCACACACAGAUGUGAGUGUCUCAGGCAGGCAAGCGCUGCCUGUUGUUCCUGAGUUCCAUGUUGAUCUCAGACCAUAUCUUCAUGCCUGCUCUCACUCCCCAUCUUAGCUCUAGGUCAAAUGUCUGGUAUGUUGUCUAGGCCCCUGAUUCUCUCCCGAACAUGCGGAUGCCACACUAGACAUUUGACCUGGGGAUCAGAAGUCCCGCAUGCAUCUCACUUGACUAACUCAAGGAAUCAGCAAGACUGCUUUCCUUCUGGGGUCUCUAGGGGAGAAUCUGUAUCCUGUGUCUUCCAGCUUCCAGUGGCUGCAGCAGUCCUUGGCCUGUGGCCCCUUCCUCCAUCUUCAAAGCUAGCUGCAUAGCAUCUUUAAAUCUCUCUCUGACCUUGCUUCCGUCAUCGUCUCUCCUCUGACUGACUUUCUUCCUCCCUCUUCCACAUUUGAGGACCCUUGUGAUUCCACUGGGCCAACCUGAGUCACCAGUAUACCCUCCUUAUCUGGGAUCAGCUAGUUGGCAACCUUAAUCUUACCUGCAACCUUGAUUUCCCCUUUGUUAUAUAAACCACUAUAGUCACAGAUUCCAGCAAUUGUGACAGGGACAUCUCUGAGGGGCCAUUAAUUUGCCCACCAUAGAUGUUAAUUAAUAUUACAUGAAUAAAAGGAAUGGAGUUUUCUGUUAAAGAGUUUUAUUUUCAAAGGGACAUACAGCUGUUGAUACAUGAAGGUAUACUAUAUCUUUCCAAAAGAGGAAUCUCAUAGUCAGAGUUCUCCAAAGUGAUGUCACCACAGAACCUCCUUCCACAGAGUUGCUCCCAGGCCCAACUGUUGGGAAACACUGUGACAAAGCUAGAGUGCUCCAGGUUUUCAACGAGGCACUUACAAGGUUCCCUCAUGAUAGCUCUGUGUGUGACAAGGAGAAACGCGCUGGAUGACUUUAUUAUUAAGUGGACUUUCAACUAUUCGAGAGCCAGUAAACAGAACGAUGGCAACCUGGGAGCAGGGUCUACAGUGCGUGCCAUGGGGCUUCCUCCUUGUCCAAGGGAUGAAUGAGGACUUUCUCAUUCACUUAAGUAUUUUCAGUUAGUGCAAACAGUAGGCUGUGAAUGCUCUGGGUAACUAGGAUCUUGACAAGCUUGGGAGACCAUGGCAGUGCUCUGGGCCCGCAGCACCACUGAGCAUAGUGUAACUCACCCACCUCUAAAGCCUUUGCCCUUAGAUGGUGUCCUGCCAAGCGGCUCUUUUGGGAAGAGUUUAACACUUGCUUGGCUCGUGUGGGGUGGUUAGCUGGGUGGAUCACUUCCACCUCUGAAGGCUCAAGCCCUGCUAAGGAGCCCAAAUCUUUCAUGCUUUUAAAGCCUUUUACUUAGGAGGAAAAAAUGCUAGAAGAUGAGCUAACCUGGUACUUUAGAAUCACUUCAGUUGUAACUGGGAUCUUUCUCCAAGCCCAAGAUGUGAGUGUUCCCAUAUCUCAGUCCCAGAAGCCCCAAUAGUGGACUGCAUACUUUCUGCCCAAAUGACAAGCUCCCAUCGACUGAGCGUCAUCAUAGUUUAACCUGUGUUUAAAAGCAGAUUCUUUGCCAGGCAUUCUAGGGCACUGAAAAACUGUGAUGAGCAAUGCAGACUACCUACCUGGAGUGCAUUGCAGUUUCUGGGGUCACUGGUGACCCAGGCCCUCACAGUGUCCUCCCACCCAGCCACCCCCACUUGCUGACAUACCUCCCACCCACCCGGCAGCAACCGUGCCAGCCUCAGAUGGGAAUCGAGGGUGUGCCCAUCAGGGCUGCCCACUUUUCUUGCAGCUGAGAGGAGUCAAGUGACUUAGUUCUGGUCUCCUAGGGAAGUGGUUUCUUCCACACAAGACAGGCUUGCAAGGCGGCCUGUGUUCCUUCUACUUCCUGGUGGAGUGCAGCCAUCUGCGGCCAUGAAACAACCAGUCUCAGGACAAGAUGGCUUCCAGCUGCUCCCUGCCAAGCAGGAAGAAGGAAACACACAAGGUGCUGGUGGCCUUGGGCAGCUGAACACACCCAGGGAUGUCUGCUUCCAGCUUCCUUGUUUAGGGCGGCUGAGUGGCUGGGGGAGCUACACAGACCUGCGGGGGUUUAGGGCUGCAGCCAAUGCGCCCUGGCUGGGGUCUCCCUUCGGACCCACACCCACCCUGGCCACCUGCCUGAAACCCAGGAGGUUGGCUGGGGAACCUCCAGGGUGUACAGUUACACGCUGUACUCUGGGGUGGCGGACAGGGGGUCACUUGCACUCUGUCCCCAGGGUACCCGUGCAGUCCCUGCCCUUCCGGCCCGCGGUGGGAGUGUGCUGCAGCCUCGGGCGCUGAUCUGCAGCCUGUCACCUGCGCCAACGCCCCUUAACGCCCUUCUUCUCAUCCCCAUUUUCCGGUGCCCACCAGUCCCCUCGUGCUGACAGACGACUCAGCGUGUCUCCCCAGAGCUGCUCUGCGAACUGCACCCGUGGAGGAGCCCAUACUUUCUGAACAGCCGCUUUGAUCUACUUAAGCACUGCCGUGUUUUCAUAGCUAUGGCCCAGCUAUAUCAUAGGACAUAUAUCCUAUGUCAUAGCAUAGCGGUGACAGCAGCAGGCGGCGUUGGGGCGGGGCGGGGCCAGAGUGACAGGCAGCCCUGCGGGCCCCUGGCCCCUCCCCACAGCCCCUGAGACUUGUGCGGCCCGCAGGAAUCUUCUGGCGGCCACCCGGUUCGCCGGCAGCACUGUAUCAGUUUCUACAUGGCUCCUCUCCCAGCCCCUUACGUGGCUUAUUUCGUGUCAAUUCUAGGGAGGUUCUACCGUUUCCGUUCGCCGGGGGUCUGGAACGCGCACGGGCCCUGGGCGAGCCUCCCUGAGCGCCGCCACGUCCGCCUUCGUCGUCCUCCCAACCGGACCCCGCACCCCCGCCCUCCCUAGCGCUGUGCUGGACGCUUCUCUGUGAGGAGAGUCCCUCGCCCCUUCUUCAGAUUUGGGAAUGGACUCUCGGGCACCUGAAGCGCCUGCUCAGGAUCAGGCCGGCACCUGGACAUGAAUCCCAAACAGAAAGCCUGAGCCCUGCCUGGCGCUUUCGCGGCUGCUGGCACGGCUGCGCAGAAACGCCAGCGUCCCUGGACCGAGCGCGGGGAGGGGCAGGCUUCCAGCAGCGCUGUCCACUGGGAAGAAGACACAACCCACAUUUUUAGAUUUUCCAGUUUCCACGUUGAAAAAGCAAAAAGACAUGAGAUUGAUUUGUGACCCAGUGUAUCAAAAAUAUUAUUUAACCGAUUAAUCAAUAUGAACAAUUGUUCAUUAGAUAUUUUACUUGUUUUUAGGACUACGUUUUCAAAAUCCGGUGAGAAUUUUAUACUCACAGCACAUCUCAGCGCUGCAGCUCACGCAGGGGCGCCUCCAGCGUCAGGCUUUCUGGGCUCCUGGCUGCGUGCUGCUGGGCACGUUGCUUAAUAUGGCAAAGUCCCCAUUUUUCUCAUCCAGAAAACGGAGAUCAAAGUACAGGUGCCAAUUUCAUAGGACUACAGUGAAGAUCAAAUGAGAGAGCUCAGCCAAGAAUAUAAGACCCAUGCAUGGUCUGUGGAAGUCUCGUGGUCUUUAAGGCUUUCUCCAGCUACACAACUUUAGAUCAAGUCACAGGAACCUGAAGGACACCACAGGUGCUUCCAGCAAGGGCAUCUGGAAGGCCUGUGGUCCGCGGUGGCUCAGGAAGGUAAG